UAAAAGGUGGCUGAGAUUCAGGCGUUAGAUUGUAAAUCUAAUUACGGAAGUAUUUCCUCUUUUAA
rnacentral:tRNA from 1 species